rnacentral:lncRNA from 1 species
AUUCUCUUACCACUUUUCUCUAUUUGAAGAUGGAGAAACCUUUUAUAGAGUUUCCCAUAAUACCAUUUGGCUCUCAUUUGAUACAAACACAUCAUUGACAUAUUAAUUCUGCCUUUGUUCUUUUCUCAUUAGCCCAUAACAAUUAAAAUAGACCAUUACUCUGCUGCACUAUGAGUUUUUAUGAUGUCAUAUUAAAGUCUCCAUUAAUUAAGUAACUUAAUAAAUUAAAGCUUUAUUCAAUGACAGUAUCUUUCAAUUGCACAUCAUCUCCACUAAAGAGCACAAUGGCAGACAUGGGACAAUUUUAGCAUUAGGACAUGCCAAUCUAACAGUCAGAUGUGCUUACUGACACAAUGAAAGUUAGAAGCUGUCACUUUUGGUGAUUGUUUGGUGGCAGUGACACUGAGAACAGAACAGUCAAUGGGGGGAAUAUAGACAAAUUCAGGCACUGCUAUUGGAAAGCACAACUCAAUUAUCAGGUUGUCAUUUAGAUUUUUUGAAUGUUAAUUUGAUAAAACCACACAUUAAAAAAAUGUUUGGAGCUAUGGGACUAUGUCUUUGAAUUUCAGUUUGAGAGAGACUGACCUGCAGGGUAAUAAUUAAAUUCCUUCAUUAAUAAUGUAAGAUCUUCAUUUAACGAGGUAAAUUGGAGUGGAAUGUAGUAAGAUGAAGGCAAAGAAAGAAAGGAUACUAAUGCUGUUGUCUGAGUAAGAGAUGCUGAGAGAGUAAGAUAGGAAAGAAGAUAAGUAGGAAAGGGGAAGACAAGGUGGAAGCUAGCUACAUCAUAUAGAAAUAAAAAAAAAUAAGGAGGGUGAGGGAAGUAAGGCAGUGUGAGAGCUAGAUGACAAACUGAUUCUUUUAUACUCAUGUUAUAGGUAAAGAAAUAGAGUAGCAGACUGACCACCUUAAUUUGGAAAUUUUUGUCUUACUUGUGUAAGGAUCAAUUACCUCAUAACUUUGAGAGAAUAUAGUUUGCUAAUGUGUCUAAGUGACUCAUGGAGAAUAGCUAAACUAGGACCCUAAGCUAGAUACAGUCAGGCCUUCCAUGCUGUGUAGCAUUCGGUGCAUGUGGAUAAUCUCAGACUUUUGGGAAAUUAUAGAUCAAUCUCAUGGUUGAAAUGCAAGCAAAUAUACCAGGAAUCACAACAAAUACAAGGAUGAUUCACUCUGUGUGUCAAUAGACAAAGAUUUUUAAGUUGUAUAAGGAAGAAAGAAACAGUAAUAGUCUCCUUACAAACUGUCUGUAAGGGACACCCCUAUUAAGAAUGGGAAUAUUGAAAGAAAGUAGAUGGAAAUCGACAUAAAAUACCAUGCAAGUACCUUUUAAAAGAAGUCUGGCAACACUAUAUUAAUAUCAGACAAAAUGUACUUUAAAAAUAUUGUUACACACAAAGAAAUUUAUUAUUUAAUGAUAAAAGAACAGUUCACUAGGAAGAUGUAUUAAUCCUGAACCUACAUUAACUGGUAUCAUCAUUUCAAAAGCAUAUAAAGUAAAAAUUGACAAUAUUACCAUGAGGUAAUGAGAACAUAGGUAAUCUUAACUGGAAAUUUUAAAUGUUUUUCUCUCAGACACUGAAAAAUCAAGUAAAUUUUUAAGAAUUAUAAAGGAUAAAGAAAGAUUUAAAUAACAUAGCUGAUUAUCUUGAUCAAAUAGACAUGCACAGAACUCUGAACUCUGCUACCAGAAAAUAUAAACACAUAGAAAACCUUACCACUGAUGAACAAAAAUUACAUUGUCUACAUUCUUAUUUCAGAGGAAAAAAAUCAGGAGGCCAAAACAGCUAGAAAUCAAAAACUCUAUCCAUUUGGAAAUUGAAGAUUAUACUUGUAAAUCUUGAGUUAAGGAUCCAGAAUUGUCACUGCUGUGGCUCAGGUUACUGCUGUGGCAUGGAUUUGAUCCCUGGUCCAGGAACUUCCAUAUGCUGUGGGCAUAGCCACCCCCUGAAAACAAACAAAUAAAGAAGGACUGAUUAUUAGUGAGUAAACCUGCAAACAAAAAAAUUGUAAAUAUAAUAG